UACGGGGGGGGGCAAGCGUUGUUCGGAAUUACUGGGCGUAAAGGGCUCGUAGGCGGCCAACUAAGUCGGACGUGAAAUCCCUCAGCUUAACUGGGGGAACUGCGUCCGAUACUGGAUGGCUUGGAUUUGGGAGAGGGAUGCGGAAUUCCAGGUGUAGCGGUGAAAUGCGUAGAUAUCUGGAGGAACACCGGUGGCGAAGGCGGCAUCCUGGACCAACAUUGACGCUGAGGAGCGAAAGCUAGGGGAGCAAACGGG
rnacentral:rRNA from 1 species